rnacentral:lncRNA from 1 species
CAAAUAUUUUGUGAGGUUUCAGCCAGGAGAAACAGUAAACAUUCCUGGCUGUAUUAAACAACCCCACGGACAUAGGAGGGUUCCCCAUAAAAGACCCAAAAGAUACUGCCCUCCCAAGAUCCAGAGCGACUCCCACAGACAGCCAAAAGAAAGACAGAUUUAGACAGUUUCCCUGAGAGCUGGCAACAGUUUGUAGGAUCCUAGCUGCAAAUGGGGUACAGCCCACAUUUCUGUCCAGCCAUAUUUUGGGGGCCGCAACCUGUUGGUUGCCAAGCCAAAUUCUUAGGACACAAAAUGAGACCAACAAGAAGGCAAUAGCUAUCCCUGGGAGAGGAAGGAUCAGUAACCAGUGUUUUUUCCUGCCAAUCUGAAUUUGGAAAGGAACGGAUAACAUGAAAUUUUACCUUCCACUCUCCACAGGCACCACAGAUAGAGAUCUGAGAGAGAUGACUUUGACUGUACCCCACAAAGACAACUUAGUCUGGUUUCUGCCCCUCACAAGGCAUCCAGGAUUCAGAGAAAAAAGUCUCCUAUGUACUGUUGGUUCAGGAGAAAUGAGCAAGUGGAGGAAGAUGCAAGCCGUAAUGAUGUUUCCUUAUUCUUUCACUCAAAAACAUUUAAUAAGCCUUUAUUAUGUUCACGGAAUUGUACCAAAAGUAUGCUGAUAAAUAUCUAGAGUGAUUCCAGAUCGUGUCCUUAGAUUCUCCACCCUCAAGGAGGAGGAAUUAACUCCCACUCCUUAGGUGUGGGCUGCAUACAGUGACUUCCUUCUAGAGAGGACACUGUGGAAAGAGAAGAGGAGACAGUAACUCUACAGGGGAGAAACCUGAUAAACGCGACUGCAGCAAGGCGGUCAAGGUCAACAUCAACAGUGAUAAGUCAUGGUGACACCCUUGAUAUGAUGUGAUGAGAACAAGACUUUAUCUCUGUGGUCAUUUUCCCAAAUGCUCACAGCCACAGACUAAUCAUGAGAACAAUAUCAGAGAAAUCUCAAUUGAGGGACAUUCUACAAAAUACCUGAUCAGCGCCCCUCAGAACAGUCAAGGUCAUCAAAAACAAGGAAAGCCUAAGAAACUGUCGCAGUCUGGACGACCUAAGGAGACAUGAAGACUAAAUGUACUGUGGUGUCCUGGAUGGGAUCACAAGAUAGAAAGGAAAUAG